rnacentral:rRNA from 1 species
GACGAACGCUGGCGGCGUGCUUAACACAUGCAAGUCGAACGAUGAAGCUGGAGCUUGCUCCAGUGGAUUAGUGGCGAACGGGUGAGUAACACGUGAGCAAUCUGCCCUUGACUCUGGGAUAACUGCGGGAAACUGUAGCUAAUACCGGAUACGACACCUUGGGGCAUCCCGGGGUGUGGAAAGAAUUUCGGUCAAGGAUGAGCUCGCGGCCUAUCAGCUUGUUGGUGAGGUAAAGGCGCACCAAGGCGACGACGGGUAGCCGGCCUGGGAGGGUGACCGGCCACACUGGAACUGAGACAAGGUCAGGCCUCCUACCGUAGGCAGCAGUGGGGAAUAUUGCACAGUGGGCGAAAGCCUGAUGCAGCAACGCCGCGUGAGGGAUGACGGCCUUCGGGUUGUAAACCUCUUUUAGCAGGGAAGAAGCGAAAGUGACGGUACCUGCAGAAAAAGCACCGGCUAACUACGUGCCAGCAGCCGCAGUAA